rnacentral:rRNA from 1 species
UACGUAGGGGGCAAGCGUUGUCCGGAAUCAUUGGGCGUAAAGAGCGUGUAGGCGGCCCGAUAAGUCCGCUGUGAAAGUCCAGGGCUCAACCCUGGAAUGCCGGUGGAUACUGUCGGGCUCGAAUCCGGAAGAGGUGGGUGGAAUUCCUGGUGUAGCGGUGAAAUGCGCAGAUAUCAGGAGGAACACCAAUGGCGAAGGCAGCUCACUGGGACGGUACUGACGCUAAGGCGCGAAAGCGUGGGGAGCAAACAGG